UACGGGGGGAGCAAGCGUUGUUCGGAUUUACUGGGCGUAAAGGGCGCGUAGGUGGCUCUGUAUGUCUACCGUGAAAGCAUACAGCUCAACUGUAUUUUGUCGGUAGAAACUGCAGGACUUGAGGCUGGGAGGGGCUGGUGGAAUUCCUGGUGUAGCGGUGAAAUGCGCAGAUAUCAGGAAGAACACCCGUGGCGAAGGCGGCUUUCUGGGACGGUACUGACGCUGAGACGCGAAAGCGUGGGGAGCGAACAGG
rnacentral:rRNA from 1 species